rnacentral:rRNA from 1 species
UACGAGUGGUGCUAGCGUUAUUCGGAUUUAUUGGGCGUAAGGGGUGCGUAGACGGUGUGAUAAGUCUGUUGUUAAAUUCCUCGGCUCAACUGAGGAUAUGCAGUGGAAACUGUCAUGCUAGAGGAUGGAAGAGAGAAGUGGAAUUCUUGGAGUAGCGGUAAAAUGCGUAGAUCUCAAGAGGAACACCGAUGGCGAAGGCAGCUUCUUGGUCCAUUCCUGACGUUGAGGCACGAAAGCGUGGGGAGCAAACAGG